AUUGAACGCUGGCGGCAGGCCUAACACAUGCAAGUCGAGCGGAUGACGGGAGCUUGCUCCUUGAUUCAGCGGCGGACGGGUGAGUAAUGCUUCGGACCGUGCCCAGCAGUGGGGGAUAAGGCAGCGAAAGCUGUGCUAAUACCACAUACGAUACGUGGAUGAUAGCGGGGGACCUUCGGGCCUCGCGCGAUUGGAGAGGCGGAUAUCAGAUUAGGUAGUUGGUGGGGUAAAGGCCAAACAAGCCGACGAUCUGUAGCUGGUCUGAGAGGACGAACAGCCACACUGGGAUUGAGACACGGCCCAGACUCCUACGGGAGGCAGCAGUGGGGAAUUUUGGACAAUGGGCGCAAGCCUGAUCCAGCAAUGCCGCGUGCAGGAAGAAGGCCUUCGGGUUGUAAACUGCUUUUGUACGGAGCGAAAAGGCUCCCUCUAAUACAGGGGGCUCAUGACGGUACCGUAAGAAUAAGCACCGGCUAACUACGUGCCAGCCGCCGCCGUAA
rnacentral:rRNA from 1 species